UAUUUAAGACACUAUGCAUAC
ensembl:piRNA 21ur-11681 ncRNA